CUUCACCUCGAUCUUGAUCUCAAGAAUCGUAUGAAUUUCGGUUGAUAACCGUUAGUCGAGUAUAAUUUCUACUGACUAUGUCCAGAUGGAUCAUGCCCCAAAAAAUGUAGGCUGUUCAGAGGGACCGUACCCCAAAAAAAUGUCACUCUGUCAUCUUCACCUCAAUCUUGAUCUCAAGAAUCGCAUGAAUUUCAGUUGAUAACAGCUGGUUUUGUGUAAAAUUCACUGACUAUGUCCGGAUGGAUCAUGCCCCAAAAAAUGUAGACUUCUGGACUAUGUCUGGAUGGAUCAUGCCCCAAAAAAUGUAGACUGUUUGGAUGGACCGUGCCCCAAAAAAUGUAAACUAUGUUCGGAUGGACCAUGACCCAAAAAAUGUCUAUCUGCAUCAUUUUUCAUCCUGUGUACAAGAAGAUAAAUCCACUUUUUGCUGGACCAUGUCCAGAUUGACCAUGUCUCAAAAAAUGUCCAUCUACAUCAUGUUCGACUUGAUCUCAAGAAUUGUAUGAAUAUCAGUUGAUUACUGUUGGUUUUGUAUAGAAUCUAUCAAACUAUGUUUGGAUUGGCCAUGUAAAAAAAAAAAAAAGUUUCAUCUUCAUCAUCUUGGUCGUGAUAUGAAGAAUUAUAUGAAUUUCAGUUAAUAAUCAUUGGUUUUGUAUCAUCUUAAUCAGACUUAUGUCCGGUUUGACCAUGUCCAUCUAUGCCAUCUUCAUCUCUAUCUCAAGAAUAGUAUAUAUGAAUUUCGGUUGACAACCAUUCAUAUUGUAUGCGUUCAAUCGGAGUAUGUCUGGAUUGACCAUAUCCCAAAAAAUAUCUGUUUGGAUGAUCCCAGCUACCAGUCUUGGACUCCCUAUCAUCUCUCUCUCUCUCUCUCUCUCUCUCUCUCUCUCUCCUGUGGAUUUCUUUCUGCACAGCUAGUUUACUUUUGAGUUGGAGUACUUUUGAGUUGGUGUGUUUUAGAAGAGUUGUUUUAGCAGUUAUAGGAGUGUUGGUCUUGUAAUAACAUGUGUAUAUUGUUUUGUUUCAUGUAAUCUUAUUGGAUUCAUGUCCACUAUGGUUUGUUGUUUGGGUUUGAAAAGUGUUAAUCUCCUAAUAAAUUGUAAUUGUGUGGAAGAUUUUCUUGUAAAUAAUCAAGGAGGGUUGUUAUGACCACAUGUAAUUGAUGUUGUGGAAGGCAUAGCUGAUUCUGCCUUAGAAGAUGGUUUAAUAUUAAUCAUAGCCUUCUCUCUCUCUCUCUCUCUCUCUCUCUCUCUCUCUCUCAAAACUCGGUGUCAGUGGGCCGAUAACUGCUUGCCAUCAGUUGGGCUCCUUUGAGCUUGCAGUGUAGGCGCAUGAGAUCCAGGCCAAUCAUCAGUUAAGGCUUGCUAUCAACAUAACUGAGCCAAAAAUUUGGCCAGUUUGGACAUCAGGUGAGGCCAGACUUGUAUGAGGAAAAUGGAUGGUUAGACAAAAAGGAACAGUUGGUCCAUACUCAAGAUACACAUGUGGCCUACCUAAUGAGUGGCCCAGCUUGAACUUUGGGGCA